AACGAACGCUGGCGGCGUGCUUAAGACAUGCAAGUCGUGCGAGAAAGUUCCUUCGGGAGCGAGUAAAGCGGCGCACGGGUGAGUAACGCGUGGGUAAUCUGCCCGAUGGACUGGGACUAAACCCCCGGGAACGUGGNGCUAUACCAGAUAAGACCACGGAGUCUACGGACUUCGACGGAAAAAGGGUGGCCUCUGCUUGCAAGCUACUACCAACGGAUGAGCCUGCGUCCCAUUAGC
rnacentral:rRNA from 1 species